AGAGUUGUGUGUGAGGCCAUCAAUAUGACAGCUAAAGCUUAGCUGAAACUGGGUCAUGCAACAGGGCAAAGGUAAUAAACUCAGCAACAAAUCAAGGUGUU